rnacentral:rRNA from 1 species
AUUGAACGCUGGCGGCAGGCCUAACACAUGCAAGUCGAGCGAGCGGCGGACGGGUGAGUAAUGUCUGGGAAACUGCCUGAUGGAGGGGGAUAACUACUGGAAACGGUAGCUAUUACCGCAUACCAUCAGAUGUGCCCAGAUGGGAUUAGCUAGUAGGUGGGGUAACGGCUCACACAGGCGACGAUCCGUAGCUGGUUUGAGAGGACGACCAACCACACUGGGACUGAGACACGGACCAGACUCCUACGGGAGGCAGCAGUGGGGAAUUUUGGACAAUGGGGGAAACCCUGAUCCAGCCAUGCCGCGUGUACGAUGAAGGCCUUCGGGUUGUAAAGCACUUUUAGCAGGGAAGCGGUACCUGCAGAAUAAGCACCGACUAACUACGUGCCAGCAGCCGCGGUAAUAC